rnacentral:rRNA from 1 species
CCUACGGGGGGCAGCAGUUAGGAAUAUUGGGCAAUGGAGGAAACUCUGACCCAGCAACGCCGCGUGAAGGAAGAAGGUUUUCGGAUUGUAAACUUCUGAUCUAGGGGAAAAAGAAAGUGAUGGUACCCUAGGAGAAAGCCACGGCUAACUACGUGCCAGCAGCCGCGGUAAUACGUAGGUGGCAAGCGUUGUCCGGAAUGACUGGGCGUAAAGGGAGCGUAGGUUGUUGUUUAAGUUAAAUGUGAAAGCCCGUGGCUCAACUACGGAACUGCAUUUAAUACUGGACAACUAGAGUGCAGGAGGGGUAAGCGGAAUUCCUAGUGUAGCGGUGGAAUGCGUAGAUAUUAGGAAGAACACCAGAGGCGAAGGCGGCUUACUGGACUGUAACUGACACUGAGGCUCGAAAGCGUGGGGAGCAAACAGGAUUAGAUACCCGAG